AUGAUUGCAUUCCGGCUGAAGGGUGUGCUAGAUGAAGUUAUUUCACCGGCGUGCAAGAAAGGGAAUAAUGGUUAUUGUGCUGUCAAGUUAGAUGUGAAGAAGGCGUAUGAUCGUGUUGAAUGGGUGUUCCUGGAGAAGAUGAUGCACAAGCUUGGCUUUGCCGGAGACUUUGUUAAUUUGAUCAUGGAUUGUGUUCGCUCAGUAAAAUAUAAGGUGAGAUUUAAUAACCAGGAGAUGGGGGGCUUAGAGCCUACUAGGGGUCUCCGUCAAGGGGAUCCACUAUCACCAUACUUGUUCCUAUUGUGUGCAGAAGGGUUCUCAAGUCUUUUGGCUCAUAGAGAGGAGGUUCGUGGCAUUGAAGGUGUAAGGGUUUGCAGAAAUGCACCAUCAGUAUCUCAUUUACUUUUUGUUGAUGCCUCCUUAAUCCUUAUGAAAGCAGAUUUGGAUACUGCAACCUCAUUGAGGCAACUUCUCGCCAAGCUCCCAAAUGGGCAAAGUUAG
rnacentral:rRNA from 1 species